UGCAGCAUCACCUCCUCUUUCCCUCUUCUCUCUCUCUCUAACCUCUCUCUACUCUCUCUCUUUCUCAAAAAGGAAGAGCUGACCAAGCUAUCACCCAUCGUCAUCCACCAUGGCUAGUGAGCGUACCAGCCACCAACGACGACCCUAUCUCUAUUUCUUUUUUCCACCAACAAUCACCAGCCACCACUUCCCCAUAGCCGACCACCCUUCUCUUCCUCUCUUUCUCUUUGAAAACCACUGGAAAACCCCAUGCUCCGAUGAGCAGUGUUUGCUGAUGUUGGAUCCCUUCACCAUCUCCCUCCAUCUAUCUCUCUCAAGUUUCUUUUGUUUGUCAUCUUUUUUACGGUACUAACCGUCGAUGCCGAUGCCCAUAAGUUUUCUCUGUCUUUGACCCUCUAUUGCUGCCGCCGGUGGACAUCAACAGCUGCACCAGCAACUAAUGUGCCACCAGCCUCCAAACCCUAUCUCCACUGGAGAAGACAGUAAAACCAGUUGUCCUUCACACGCCAACAGCAAUCAAGGGAUUAGCCGCCGCCACUUCUUCAUUCCCCUCUCCCCACCAGUUACCCACUGGAGACUCCCAUCCCCCGCUCGCCGUCACUUCUCUGACCAAUGGCAAUGGAACUAUUAAGUAUGGCAGAUUCACAUAGGUGAAUCCGUCUCAGGUUGGGAUUUGAAGAGUCGCCUGAGGGGUUUGGGAGGGACUACAUUACUCCCUUCAAGUUUAGUUGUUUCUUUCUCUUUAUAUUGGCCUAUAAUGUUGUAUAAACGAUAUUUUAUUGUAAUAAUAAUAAUUGAAGACUGCAUGGGGGCGGGAAUUUACAUGCUCUAUGAAUUCGUAGGCAACAUAACUUAGAUUUAUGUAUUUAUGUGCUUUUAUGUGCUUACGUGAAUCACUCAUUCAAAUCCUUAGGAUUAAUAAUAAAUUUAUUUACCACUUGGAAA